AUUGAACGCUGGCGGCAGGCCUAACACAUGCAAGUCGAGCGAGCGGCGGACGGGUGAGUAAUGUCUGGGAAACUGCCUGAUGGAGGGGGAUAACUACUGGAAACGGUAGCUAAUACCGCAUACCAUCAGAUGUGCCCAUAUGGGAUUAGCUAGUAGGUGGGGUAAUGGCUCACCUAGGCGACGAUCCCUAGCUGGUCUGAGAGGAUGAACAGCCAAACUGUGACUGAGACACGGCCCAGAGUCCUACGGGAGGCAGAAGUGGGGAAUAUGGCACAAUGGGCGCAAGCCUGAUGCAGCCAUGCCGCGUGUGUGAAGAAGGCCUUAGGGUUGUAAAGAACUUUCAGCUGGGAGGUGUUACCCUCAGAAGAAGCACCGGCUAACUCCGUGCCAGCAGCCGCGGUAAUAC
rnacentral:rRNA from 1 species